rnacentral:rRNA from 1 species
GACAGAGGGUGCAAACGUUGUUCGGAAUUACUGGGCGUAAAGCGCGUGUAGGCUGCUCCGCAAGUCGGAUGUGAAAGCCCUGGGCUCAACCUAGGAAGUGCAUUCGAAACUUCGGAGCUGGAGUCCUGGAGAGGAAGGCGGAAUUCUCGGUGUAGAGGUGAAAUUCGUAGAUAUCGAGAGGAACACCGGUGGCGAAGGCGGCCUUCUGGACAGUGACUGACGCUGAGACGCGAAAGCGUGGGGAGCAAACAGG